rnacentral:rRNA from 1 species
CCUACGGGUGGCAGCAGUGGGGAAUAUUGCACAAUGGGGGAAACCCUGAUGCAGCGACGCCGCGUGAGUGAAGAAGUAUCUCGGUACGUAAAGCUCUAUCAGCAGGGAAGAAAAUGACGGUACCUGACUAAGAAGCCCCGGCUAACUACGUGCCAGCAGCCGCGGUAAUACGUAGGGGGCAAGCGUUAUCCGGAUUUACUGGGUGUAAAGGGAGCGUAGACGGCAGGACAAGUCUGGAGUGAAAUCCCGGGGCUUAACCCCGGAACUGCUUUGGAAACUGUGAGGCUGGAGUGCAGGAGGGGUGAGCGGAAUUCGUAGUGUAGCGGUGAAAUGCGUAGAUAUUAGGAGGAACACCGGUGGCGAAGGCGGUUUACUGGACUGUAACUGACGUUGAGGCUCGAAAGCGUGGGGAGCAAACAGGAUUAGAUACCCUUGUAGUC